AUUGAACGCUGGCGGCAGGCCUAACACAUGCAAGUCGAGCGAGCGGCGGACGGGUGAGUAAUGUAUGGGGAUCUGCCCGAUGGAGGGGGAUAACUACUCGAAAGAGUGGCUAAUACCGCAUACUCUUGGAGCGGCCGAUAUCGGAUUAGCUAGUGUGUGGGGUAAAGUCUCACCAAGGCAACGAUCCGUAGCUGGUUUGAGAGGACGACCAGCCACACGGGGACUUAGACACGGCCCAGACUCCUACGGGAUGCAGCAGUGGGGAAUUUUGGACAAUGGGGGAAACCCUGAUCCAGCCAUCCCGCUUGUAUGAGAAGGCCUUCGGGUUGUAAAGUACUUUUGGCAGAGAAGCGGUAUCUGCAGAAUAAGCACCGGCUAACUACGUGCCAGCAGCCGCGGUAAUAC
rnacentral:rRNA from 1 species